CACACUGUGACUUCACAGUGCAGUCAUUUGAACAAAACAGAUGUUUUAUAACCAGCAUUGUGGAAGAUCUUUAAUUGAAUUUGGGGCCCUAACACCCUAUUUUGGCCUCACUACCCCAUUUUUAUCCUUUUAGCUGAUGAUUCUUAGCACAAAGAAGACUCAAGUGGCAUGAAGUAUUUCCAGAAAUCGAGGCUAAAAAGAACUAUACUUCAGUGCAUGUGGUGCACCCUGGAUGGGAGAUUCCCAUUGAGUUUCCUCCAAAAGACAUCCAGUUCCCACCCCCAGAACUUCUUUGUAAAUUCUGAGCUGUGGGAAAUGAGGAUAUUCAGGACUUCCCUCCAAGCUCACACUAUUGUUCCAGCCUGAAGCCCUAAUGGAGAUGG